rnacentral:rRNA from 1 species
CAAUAGCGUAUAUUAAAGUUGUUGCGGUUAAAAGCUCGUAGUUGGAUUUCUGCCGAGGACGACCGGUCCGCCCUCUGGGUGAGUAUCUGGCUCGGCCUGGGCAUCUUCUUGGAGAACGUAGCUGCACUUGACUGUGUGGUGCGGUAUCCAGGACUUUUACUUUGAGGACUAGAGUAAUGAUUAAUAGGGAUAGUUGGGGCGAUUCAUAUUUAAUUGUCAGAGGUGAAAUUACUUGGAUUUAUUGAAAGAAUGAACUUCUGCGAAAGACAUUUGUCCAAGGAUGUUUUCUAUUAAUCAAGAACGAAAGUUAAGGGGAGUCGAAGACGAUCAGAUACCAU